rnacentral:sRNA from 1 species
GCCAGGUGUGGUGGCUCAUGCCUGUAAUCCCAGCGGCUGGGGAGGCUGAGGCAGGAGGAUCACGAGUUCAAAGCCAGCCUCAGCAAAAGUGAGAUGCUAAGCAACUCAGUGAGACCCUGUCUCUC